GACGAACCGUGCGAACGUUGUUCGGAAUCACUGGGCGUAAAGCGCACGUAGGCGGCUUCUUAAGUCAGGGGUGAAAUCCUGGAGCUCAACUCCAGAACUGCCUUUGAUACUGAGAGGCUCGAGUCCGGGAGAGGUGAGUGGAACUCCGAGUGUAGAGGUGAAAUUCGUAGAUAUUCGGAAGAACACCAGUGGCGAAGGCGGCUCACUGGCCCGGUACUGACGCUGAGGUGCGAAAGCGUGGGGAGCAAACAGG
rnacentral:rRNA from 1 species